UCGAGGCGUGGCUCAGCUUGGCUAGAGCGCUGUGUUAGGGACGCAGAGGUCGCAAGUUCAAAUCUUGUCGCCUCGAU
rnacentral:tRNA from 2 species